CGCCCUUCCUACGGGAGGCAGCAGUGGGGAAUAUUGGACAAUGGGCGCAAGCCUGAUCCAGCCAUGCCGCGUGAGUGAUGAAGGCCCUAGGGUUGUAAAGCUCUUUUGUGCGGGAAGAUAAUGACGGUACCGCAAGAAUAAGCCCCGGCUAACUUCGUGCCAGCAGCCGCGGUAAUAAGGG
rnacentral:rRNA from 1 species